rnacentral:miRNA from 1 species
UGUUUGUGCACUUCAGGGAAUCUAU